rnacentral:pre_miRNA from 1 species
CCGAGGCAGCCGUCGGCAGCGGCAGCGGCAGCGUUGAGGGCGCCGUCGCCGGCGGCACCUCUGG